rnacentral:lncRNA from 1 species
AGGCUACUGGGUUAAGGGACUUAGAUAUUCUAACGUUCUUCUUAGUUUAGAAGUCUUCAACACCUAGGCUGUUGUUAGUGGAGGAGUUAAAGCAAGAUUUUGAGUAGGGAACUGAUUAAAUUAGUGGAUGCUCCCUCUAGUAACAGAUUUGCAAAAGCAAUUCAUUCUACAGUUAUCAUGGCUAUUAGCUGCCUAAGGCUUAUGAGAGUGAGUCUUACAUGGAAACAGUUUGGAUUAGUGUUUGUUUGAGCGCGUGCUGACUUCUAAAAUUCAGUAGACUUAUACAUGACAGUGACUUCAGUUACCAGAGUCAAAGGUUGCUUCAGCCGUGUUUAUUUGGACAUCUUGGAACUACUGUUUAAUGGAGAUGGAUUUUGAAUUUCAUAGCAUUUGUAAUAUUUCUGAAUUUAGAUUUUUGAAAACUAAAGCUAACCAUGCUUUUAACUUGUGAAAUCUUAGUCU